AGCACGUUAUGGUGGGCGACUCUAAGGAGACUGCCGGUGGCAAACCGGACGGAAGGUGGGGGAGUGACGUCAAGUCAUCAUGGCCCUUACGGCCUGGGCUACACACGUGCUACAAUGGUCGGUACAAAGGGUUGCCAAGCCGCGAGGUGGAGCUAAUCCCAUAAAACCGAUCGUAGUCCGGAUCGCAGUCUGCAACUCGACUGCGUGAAGUCGGAAUCGCUAGUAAUCGUGAAUCAGAAUGUCACGGUGAAUACGUUCCCGGGCCUU
rnacentral:rRNA from 1 species